GACGGAGGGGGCUAGCGUUGUUCGGAAUUACUGGGCGUAAAGCGCGUGUAGGCGGUUGUUCAAGUCGGGUGUGAAAGCCUUGAGCUCAACUCAAGAAAUGCACUCGAUACUGGGUGACUUGAGGACCGGAGAGGAUAGUGGAAUUCCCAGUGUAGUGGUGAAAUACGUAGAGAUUGGGAAGAACACCAGUGGCGAAGGCGGCUAUCUGGACGGUUUCUGACGCUAAGACGCGAAAGCGUGGGGAGCAAACAGG
rnacentral:rRNA from 1 species